rnacentral:lncRNA from 1 species
GUGUCUUUCCUGUCAGAGGCAUCCUGUUGUUAAACUGUGAGUGAGUUAUUUCAAUCACCACCGAGAAGACACAUUUCGGAUUGCUGUGUCCUGAACAAGUGUGUGGGGUUGGUUGGAUGUGGCGAGAGGCCAAGAGCUGGAAGGCUCUCAAUGUGAUAUCUCCACCUCAGAAAGCGCACCCGGGGUCCUGCCUUACAGGAGGCCACUCUCUGAGGCCUACCCCGGAGACUUGUUGAUCCACAGGGCUGUGCAGCUGCUAGACAAAGCCAAG